CACCAAUCUAUGCAGGCCCACAAGUUGCCCCAGGGCUUGUUGUUGGGUGGGGCCAGUCUCUAGGGUGGGCUGCCUGCCCUGGCUGAGCUGGAUUAAAUCAGUGCUCUAGCGGGUGGGGCAGACCCUGGGCUAGCAGGCCUCAGGGAGAACUCCAAUGGUGUCUGUGUCAGCACGCCCACACCAGACCACAACAAUGGCCGCCGCCAAUGUCCCAGUCCCUGGAGAGGUCUCACCCCUCACCGAGAUGCACUCAGGGCCUAUUAGUUACUCUGUGAGCAGAGCUAACACAGCAAGAGAAUACAAGCCAGGAGUACAUGUGGAAGAGGCUGCCUGAAUGAGCCACACUAGAGCUGUUAGUUUGAUAGCCACGGAUACAGGAACCUGGCAUAGGAGUUAAAUCAGCUUUGGCUCAGAAGAAUCAAAUGAAUAAUUGAAUAAAUGUUGAAACAACGCUUCAGAAGUAACUCAUAACCUUUCCAUGUUGAUGUCUAAAGAAGAAUGAAAAAGCAUCUACAGAGAGAAACAAAUACUGGGGCACAACAUUUCCACAUACAAGUACAAGGGAGCCAAACAGAACUGGGAUUUACUCUGCACUGUACAGAAAAGCACAGAGAGCCUGGGUCACCAAGUACUUUUUAACUGCCUUCAAACAUUGAAGCACAAUGCAGGAAACUACAGCACUCAUUUAAAAAGCAAACAAAUGAAUAUAGGGACUUACAUCAAGAUUAAACAGUCAGCUGUUGUUCAGUUACAGUGAACCAAGGAAGAGUAAGGUGAAUUUAAAAUACAGUGAAGACAAAUAACAUACGUAGUCCUGAAGUGUUCUUUAUAUUUGCAGAGCUUACUUAUGUGUCUAGACACAUUCAGAUAUAUAUACAUAUUCAGAUACAUACACAUACGUAUGUGUAUGUAUUUAUAUACAUAUAUAUUUUAUAUAUAUUCACACAAAUGCACACAUAUCCUUGCCUUUGAAAUGAGAGAAUACCACUGAGCAAGUGGCGAAACCAGAGUUGAGGUAGUCCUCAUUCAAGAUUACUGUAGUCCCUUGCUACUCAAAGUGUGGUCCCUGGACCAGCAGCAUCAGCAUCACCUGGGAGAUUGUUAGAAAUGCAGAAUCCCAGGCCCAACCUCAGCUCUCCCAAAUCAGAACCCAGAUUUUAGCCAGAUUGCCCAGUGAUUUGUGUGUCCAAAUUCAAGUUUGAGAAUGCUGCCCUAGAUCCAUGCUAACCAUUACCAAAGCUAUUAACUACAUGUGUCUGUUCAGCAAUUGAAAUGUUAUUAGCGAGACCGAGGAACAAGCAGUCCAGGUGACACUCAUGGACUUAAGGUGAGCACAGUUUGAGAACCACUCCUAGAAACACAGGUUCUUGAAUACUUUUUAGGUGAUGUUCUUUCUGGAUUAACCAACCGCCCUAAGAAAACAGCCACUGAAGGUACCCAAUUCAUCAGUUCAGCAAAUAACUGACUGGGGAAAUUUUUCUAAUCUAAUUAAACAUAUCAGUAAAUUGUUUAAGACCAUAUGCAAGAACAACUACAAAGGGGAUCACCCUGGUAGCCUUGAAAGGAACUCUUUCAUUGUCAGGAAUUCAGCAAAGAGGGGCCAGGGAGGCAAAGUAAGUGUGUGGCAUGAAGUCAUGUCAACCUUGAGUCUGAAUCACUGCUUCUGUCAUUUGCUAGCUGUGGGAAUUUGGGCAAGUUCCUUAACCUCCCUGUGCCUCAGUGUUUUCAUCUGUAAUGAUGGAAUGAAUAAUUUAUACCUAUACUGAAAGUUAGCCACGACAAUAAGAAAUAAUGCAUUGUAUCAGACAAACCCCAAUUGAGGGACAUUCUACAAUAUACCUGACCAGUCCCCCUCAAAACUGUGAAGUUGUCAAAAACAAGGAAAGUCUGAGAAACUGUUAUAGCCAAGAGGAGCCCAAAGAGAUAUGAUGAUAAACUGUAAUGUGACAUCCUGGAAGGGAUCCAGGAACGGAACAAGGGCAAUAGGUAAAAACUAACAAAAUUCAAUUAAAGAAUGGAUGUUAGUUAAUAUUAAUGUAUCAGAAUUGGUUUAUGACUUGUGACAAAUGUACUGUACUAAUGUGAGAUGCUAAUAAUAGGUCAAACUGAGUGUGGGGUAUAUGAGAACUCUGUAUGUCUUUGCAACUUUUCUGUAAAUCUACAACUAUUCUAAAAUUAAGUUUAUUACCAAAAAAAAUGCCUAGCAUAGUAGUGCCCAGGCCAGAAGUAUACAGUUAAUAACAGUUGUUACUAUUAUUGUGAACUGUAUAUUAGGGAUGAUACCAGCAAAGAAGAACAUCAUCUUGAUUCAAUAUUUUCAGGAGAAACUAGGAGCUUGAAAGCCUUGGAGAUUAUGGUUGAGGGAAAAGAAGAUGAAAGGGAAGAUGCAGAGGGCAUAAAGACUGCUUAUUUUCUCUAGGGCCAGUCCCACGCCUGUAACUUCUGUCACACGAUCUUGUUGGUUUUCUUCCUGAUGUUGUUCAGAGUCUGUAAUUAUUUUAUUGAUUCAGUGGUUCUCUGUUCUGAGCCCAACCUCCCCUCCCCCUCCGCCUGCACAGACACACACACACACACACGCGCACACACACACACGC